rnacentral:misc_RNA from 1 species
GGGCUAUUUAUACAAUCACCAAAAGUGGAUAAAUAAGUCAAAAUAGGCCAGUUUCAUACGUUCUCUAUCAUGUACCCCAUGUGGCAAGUUACAUUGUUCUUGUGCUAAAGAUCUUCUUAGUCACUAGCUAAAGCUCCUUUUAACACUAAGGGCAUUAAGACUGCACAGUUCAAUUUAAGCAUUAAUGUUUGCAUAAUUACAAUAGCAC